CCCCGUGCUUUUUGCAAGUUGCCGUGCUCUCAUCAACAGAUGGGGCGAGCAAAAGUUAUUGGGACCUGGCGGGCGGGAAGGAAGGAGGGGGAAAAGGGGGCAAAUCAUCAUCCGAAAAAUGAGUGGAACAA
ensembl:ncRNA T19C11.3 ncRNA